rnacentral:rRNA from 1 species
CCGCGUGAGUGAUGAAGGCCUUCGGGUUGUAAAGCUCUUUUAUCAGGGACGAUAAUGACGGUACCUGAGGAAUAAGCUCCGGCUAACUUCGUGC